rnacentral:rRNA from 1 species
CUACGAAAGGUGCAAGCGUUGUUCGGAUUUACUGGGCGUAAAGAGAUCGUAGGUGGUUUGUUAAGUUGGAUGUGAAAUCCCGGGGCUCAACCUCGGAACUGCAUCCAAAACUGGCAGACUUGAGUUCGGGAGGGGUAAGCGGAAUUCCGUGUGUAGCAGUGAAAUGCGUAGAUAUACGGAGGAACACCUGAGGCGAAGGCGGCUUACUGGACCGAUUCUGACACUGAGGAUCGAAAGCGUGGGUAGCAAACAGGAUUAGAUACCCUAGUAGUCC